CCUUCGGUAGCUCAGCUGGAAGAGCAUGGGACUAUAACAGAACAUUCUGUGAUAUCCCAAGGUUGCUGGUUCGACUCCAGUCCGAAGGA